UAUUCGUCAAUGGGGGAAACCCUGAACGAGCAAUGCCGCGUGAGCGAUGAAGGCCCUAUGGGUCGUAAAGCUCUGUUGUGAAGGAAGAACAUAUUUGAUAGGGAAUGAUCAAGUACUGACGGUACUUCACCAGAAAGCCCCGGCUAACUACGUGCCAGCAGCCGCGGUAAUACGUAGGGGGCGAGCGUUAUCCGGAUUUAUUGGGCGUAAAGCGUGCGUAGGCGGUUUAUUAAGUAUAAGAUUAAAGCCCGAGGCUCAACCUCGGAUCGUCUUAUAAACUGGUAGACUUGAGUGUGGUAGAGGCAAGUGGAAUUUCUAGUGUAGCGGUUAAAUGCGUAGAUAUUAGAAGGAACACCAGUGGCGAAGGCGGCUUGCUGGGCCAUUACUGACGCUGAUGCACGAAAGCGUGGGGAGCAAAUAG
rnacentral:rRNA from 1 species